rnacentral:lncRNA from 1 species
AAAUUUUAGCUAAUAUAUCUAUUAGACCCCUUAGAGAUCAUAAAAAAAAAAUCAAAAACCAUCGUAAACUCCCAAAUACAACUCACCGUAUUUUUAUACACAAAUAAAUAAAUAAAAAUUUUCAAAUACAACUCAUGUUAUUUCUAUACAUAAAAUAAAUAAAUAAAAAUUCUCGAGUACAACUCAUCUCAUUUCUAUAUACAAAAUAUAUAAAUAAAAUACCACCAUCCCUACCUCUUGCCGCCUCCAUACUCCACCUUCCAUCACCACCCUUUUCCCUCUCCUUCUUCCCUAUCUCCAUUUCCCCUCCCUCCCCUUCAUCCCACUCCCUCUCAUCUCCUCACAGCUACUUCACCAUAUACUCUCUUUUCAAUUACCAUAGUCAGUUGUGGAAGAGAGGAAAGGGGUGAGGAGAAGGAGUCGUGAUUAGAUCACCCCUUCCCCGCAUCCCUUCCCCUCCCUCCUGUGAUAGAUCUAGUCACAGAAAGGAUGUGAGGAAGUACAGAAAAGGGGUUGCAAAGAGAAGGAAGGUAGGUGUAGAGCAGGGAAACGAGAAGAAAGAGGGAAGGGGAAGGGAGAGUAGGAAGAAGGAAAGGAAUGAGGUUUAGAUGGAGGGGAGGGUGAUGGUAGAUGGUGAAAAAUAAUGGUGGCGUCAAUAGGUAACCAUAGGAGGCUUUUUUAUAGAUUGAUUUAACCACAGAAAGUUUUUCCGUAGGUUUGUUUAAUUAGAAUGGUUGUUACGGUCUUUUUUACUUAUAUAUAUUAGGGUAAUUGUAUGAUUUCAUCUGCCUCCGUUAAUUUUGACGAUUUUCAUUGCUA